AUUUUAGACGGUUUUCGUGUAAAACGAAGUGGCCGCAUUCGUGUUCAUCCUUAAUAUUGAAAUGUAAGUUGUAUUUUAUGAUAAUACAUAACAUAUAUAAAGAUUUUGGAUGAACACGGAUGCGGCCACUUUCAUUUUUGACAAAAACUAUCUAAAAA
rnacentral:sRNA from 1 species